UACGUAGGGUGCAAGCGUUGUCCGGAAUUAUUGGGCGUAAAGAGCUCGUAGGCGGUCCAUCGCGUCGGGAGUGAAAAGCUGGGGCUCAACCCCAGUCCUGCUUUCGAUACGGGUGGACUAGAGGUAUGCAGGGGAGAACGAAUUCCUGGUGUAGCGGUGAAAUGCGCAGAUAUCAGGAGGAACACCGGUGGCGAAGGCGGUUCUCUGGGCAUUACCUGACGCUGAGGAGCGAAAGCGUGGGGAGCAAACAGG
rnacentral:rRNA from 1 species